AAGAGAAGGGGGAUGGGUCCCGCAGGACAGUUCCAGGGCCCGAGCCCCUGCAGGCCGCCUGCCGGCCGGUUGAACCCAGCCCCCGCCCCUACCCCCGGGCAGGGCUCCAGCCCUUGGACCACGCGCCCCCGCCCGCGUCCGGCCUCCGACGCCGUUAGUUACCUCGGAUUCUGCGAAGAAAAUUGUUGUGGAGGAGUGGGGGCUUUCCAGAAAAAGCGUUAAAAUUGCCGAGUAAGAGCUCUUCACGUUUAUUGAACGCUAAUAAGGUUUUGGGAAGUGUUUUCCAGCGUCACAUUUGCUCUUCAUGGGCCCCUUUCUGAAUCUGAGUUUCAGUAUCUGUGAAUUAAAGAUAAAGAUUGAACCAGGGAA